rnacentral:rRNA from 1 species
CCUACGGGUGGCAGCAGUGAGGAAUAUUGGUCAAUGGACGAGAGUCUGAACCAGCCAAGUAGCGUGAAGGAUGACUGCCCUAUGGGUUGUAAACUUCUUUUAUAGGGGAAUAAAAUGUUCCACGUGUGGGAUUUUGUAUGUACCAUAUGAAUAAGGGUCGGCUAACUCCGUGCCAGCAGCCGCGGUAAUACGGAGGAUACGAGCGUUACCCGGAUUGAUUGGGUUUAAAGGGAGCGUAGGUGGUUUGUUAAGUCCGUCGUGAAAGUUUUCGGCUCAACCGUACAAUUGCAGUUGAAACUGCCAGUCUUGAGUACAGUAGAGGUGGGCGGAAUUCGUGGUGUAUCGGUGAAAUGCUUAGAUCUCACGAAGAACUCCGAUUGCGAAGGCAGUUCACUGGACUGCAACUGACACUGAGGCUC